rnacentral:rRNA from 1 species
UACAGAGGGUGCUAGCGUUGUUCGGAAUCAUUGGGCGUAAAGGGCGUGUAGGCGGUUUGUUAAGUCAUGUGUGAAAUCCCUCGGCUCAACCGGGGAACGACGCAUGAAACUGGCAAGCUAGAGUACCAAAGAGGGGGGUGGAAUUCCGCGUGUAGCAGUGAAAUGCGUAGAGAUGCGGAGGAACACCGAUGGCGAAGGCAGCCCCCUGGGCCAACACUGACGCUCAGGCACGAAAGCGUGGGGAGCAAACAGG